rnacentral:SRP_RNA from 1 species
GGCUGGGUCCCACGGAAGAAGGGCGGGCGAAUCCCGCCAGGGUCGGAAGACAGCAACGGUAGCUUGACCUUUCUCUGCCGUGGUCAACCUGGCCCCA